rnacentral:rRNA from 1 species
GUCGAACGCGAAAGUCCCGCAAGGGAUAAGUAGAGUGGCAAACGGGUGAGUAACACGUGGGUGACCUGCCUUCGAGUGGGGGAUAACGUUCCGAAAGGGACGCUAAUACCGCAUGACAUCCUGCCUUUGAAUAGGCGGAAAUUAAAGCCGGGGAUCGCAAGACCUGGCGCUUGAAGAGGGGCCCGCGUCCGAUUAGCUAGUUGGUGGGGUAACGGCUCACCAAGGCAACGAUCGGUAGCCGGCCUGAGAGGGCGGACGGCCACACUGGGACUGAGACACGGCCCAGACUCCUACGGGAGGCAGCAGUAGGGAAUUGUUCGCAAUGGGCGCAAGCCUGACGACGCAACGCCGCGUGGAGGAUGAAGAUCUUCGGGUCGUAAACUCCUUUCGAUCGAGACGAAUGGCCCUGAGGUAAAUAGCCUCGGGGAAUGACGGUACCGAGAGAAGAAGCCCCGGCUAACUCCGUGCCAGCAGCCGCGGUAAUACGGGGGGGGCAAGCGUUGUUCGGAAUUACUGGGCGUAAAGGGCUCGUAGGCGGCCAACUAAGUCAGACGUGAAAUCCCUCGGCUUAACCGGGGAACUGCGUCUGAUACUGGAUGGCUGGAGUUUGGGAGAGGGAUGCGGAAUUCCAGGUGUAGCGGUGAAAUGCGUAGAUAUCUGGAGGAACACCGGUUGGCGAAGGGGCAUCCUGGACCAACACUGACGCUUAGGAGCGAAAGCCAGGGGAGCAAACGGGAUUAGAUACCCCGGUAGUCCUGGCCCUAAACGAUGAAUGCUUGGUGUGACGGGUAUCGAUUCCCUGUCGUGC